rnacentral:miRNA from 1 species
UCAACAGUCGUACUCAAGACCUCAAGACUCAAGAACCAGAAGAGAGAGCAGUGUAGGAAAAUGUCCAUGUUUUGAUAACUGUAUUCGAG